CAGGGAGAAGGAUAAUGAGGAGGAAGAAAGUGAUAGAGAUGGUUUCUUCCGCAGAUUACUCAGGGAUAGCAAAGAGGAGGACAUGAAACUGACACCAAGCUCAGAUGGUUUGUUGAAGCGACUUUUUCGUGAUAAGGAGGACAUGCAAGGUGAGGAUGAUGAGAAGGAAGGAUUUUUUCGCAGGAUGUUCAAGGAUAAGAACGAGGAGAGGAGAGAUAGUAAUCAUGCAAGACAUGGAAAUGAGGAAAGACUGGGCAAGAGUGUGGAAGAUGAUGACAGAGAAGGUUUCUUCCGCAAAAUUUUCAAAGAUAAGAAUGAGGAGAGGAAAGAUGAAGGGCAUCAAAAGCCAGAUGAGAGGGAAAAGGUUGGUGCGAACAUAGAAGAUGAUAAGAGAGAUGGUUUUUUC
rnacentral:misc_RNA from 1 species